CCUAGGUGGGUGCUGGUCCAGUAAGAUGUCACAAUCCUUCUUGUGGGCAGGACAAUGGAAGAAGAGUCAAAUCACCAGGAUGCCGAUUUUAGUGAUUUAUCAAGAUUCCCCCUGUUAACAGGGAUUAGGAAGGAACCCAGGAAGAAGAGUAACAUCAUCUGGAUGUUGGGCCCUGCAAUAGGUCAAAAUUUCUUUGUGUGGGCUUG
rnacentral:lncRNA from 1 species